UGGCGUGCAGUUUUCUCUACUUCAGGGUCGAAAAUCAAUUCGCCUGUACGAGAAGAACGAUGCAUAAAUUAGAAAAAAUAUCAGAAAAUUAAAAUAAAAUAAAACUUACAAAGAAACAAAUAAUUAACGCUAGUCCCCGACAACGGCGCCAAAAAUUGACACCUGUGCAAUAAUAAUAAUAAAACCUAACUACCACCAAAAGCAGUCAAUAAUCAAUUCUAGUUACUAGAGUAGGAACUCUAGGUGUGCAAUAGGUCACUUGAUUCACCCUAUUCUCAAAGAAUUUGUUUAAUCCGAUAUACCAUAAUGAAUUAGCUAACAAAUUUUACUAACAAAUAGAUAGUGGCAAGUAGGAUCGUCUCCUCGGGGAUUUGGGAUAUUUGUCUCUUUGAAGUUCCAAUUGGCAAUAAGGGAUUUUUGUCGAAAUAAGAGUAAGAGAAAUUAAACAAUUCAACCAAAAAUAAAUAAUUAACUAAAACGACCAUAGAUAAGAAUUAAAUCAAUAAAAGACAAACUCUAACCAAGAAUACAACAUCUCAGACACAAUCCGCUCAUCCGAUCAUUAAUGCAAGGGAGGUUCACCUAAUUUAUUAAUAGGUUAGUUAUAGUUACCAACGAGUUUUGACGACCAAUUUUUUCUUAAUUUAUUUAUAACCAAAGUACGACCAUUGAUUACCCCUAAUCAGAAAAUACUCCUAAAUACGACCAUAGGAAUUAAUUUCCUAAUUACAUUAAGAACUAGAAAAACCUAAUCCCAAUCAAUAACACGUUACGAGGGUUAUUUAAAUCAGAUUGCACGUUCCUAAUGUAUAAAAAUGCUAUUUGCCACUGAUAUUAAUCAAUUUAAACAAUUAUGAAUUUAAUUGACUAAUUUGGCAGGAGUUUAAUAAGUCGCAUUGAACAUUGGACCCUUGACAUCCAAUUAACAAAGUAAUCUCACGAAAAUUCAAGCAGAUAACGUGCAAAUAUUAACAAAUUAAGGAACGCAUGAAAAUUAAUUCGAUCUCACAAAUAUUCAGAAUUGCGUCGUCGCGUUGAUCCUUGACUAGAUGAAAAACUUAGCCACGCCGUAUAAGUAAACUCCACGUAAAUUAAUUGAUUCACAAGACAUCAGGCUUUUCACUAGAUAAUCAAGAAGUAAAAGAUGUUUCUUCAGUUAGGAAUAUUGUCGAACACCAGGAAUGCAUGAAAAGAAAAGACGCAACUGUCCUAUCUCUAAGCAAUGACUAAAUCUCCUAUCCCUACGUGGUCCUUGCCGAAAAUCAGAAGAAAAGACAAGGCCCUACUCAAUGUUUUUUUUUUACCAUUUCCUCUUGCUAAUAAGACUCCCUCAUACAAGUCAUGUCUUCAUCAGCAAAGGAAAAUGAAGUCUGUUGCUUCGUACUCUGUGGGCCAGGUUUGUGCAGCUUUUAGAAGUCUUCCACGUGUGGAGCAAUUUUUUCCAGAAGGUCUCCAUUUUUUUAGCACUUUUCAGUUCCACUUCCUGUAGAUUGGUCCAAAUACCAAAUAUAAGUAUAUGUUAACAAUUAGGCAAUAUUUGGCAAGAACAAAGAGGAAAAUUAACAAUAAAGUUACUAACAAUUAACACCCUAACAGAAAGAAAGCAACCAAUAGUUGCAGUCUCUUUAUAGUUUGAACCAGAGGAACUAGGCUGUGCAAGGCAGAGCCUUGGCCCUCCUAAAAAUAUUGAUCAUUGGAAAAGCAUAUAUAACAAAUCUAGUUGCAAAAUAGGUACAUAAUAUCAUAAUUACCAUUCAUAGAUAGCUGUCAAUAAUUUCAGUAGCAGUUACACACCUUUUAGUACAAUUAAGUCCCAAGUAGAGAUACAUAAUGCAUGCUAAUAGUUACAUAAUAUCAUAUAUUAGGAUUCAUUGACUUCUAGUCAUAGAGAGAAUGUUAAUGGAUUCUAAUAUGAUGGCAAAAGAUAGUAUGCUAGAAGUUUAGUAGUAUCCAUGAUGAACAAAAGAGAACAUGAAGCUGUGUGACUACUUCAUUUUGCAGAUUCACGGGGCUUCUUGAGAGGGCUCAUAUGAGCAGAUUUUGAAGAUGCAGGCUUGUUGUCUUCAGGACCAUUUUUUCCAGCAAUUGAGAGAAGGCUUUUACUCUUCAUAACAGAAAGAAAACCAUUAACUACAUCAUGUAUCUCACAAUCAUGUAAAAAUGAAACAGAUAGCAAUUAAUAUGCCUGAAGCUUAAAAUUUUUUAACAUGAGACAUACAACCUGUAAUAUAAUCAACAGCAGAUAAAUCCAAAUCCUUUAGACCAAAAAAAAAAGCAGCACAAAAUUUAGUUUCUUAGACAAACCUGAGAGCUGUAUAUGCCAACUUGUUGGAGCAAAAGAUGCACACCAAAUAGAAUAGCCAGCUUCAGUUGAAGAAACAGGUCAACAUUUUGUAAGCAUAGGCAAAAAAAAAAAGCAAAAUCAGUAUAAGAAAAGGAAGAAUAAAGAUUCACAAUGAAAAAGAAAAUUGAAGAAUUACAAUAGCAGUGCUAUUGUUUAGUUAUGAUCUAGAAGUAUAAAAAUAUGUUUUCAAGUAAAGUAAGUACAUUGUGAGAAGAAAAUCAACCAAAUUAAUCAAUAAUGGUCUUAUAACUCUCAUUAUUGAUCUGUUUACUAUUAUGUUAAGUUUUACUGCUAGUGAAAAUAUAGUCAAAUGAUCUGAGCCUAAAACAUUGUCUGGAUAAGCUGUUUACUAAUAUUGUUAUAUAAUGGUGAAAACCUGAAAAAAAAAAAAAAAAAAACCUUGAUCCUAUAAGGUUAUGAAGACAUGUCUAUCUGUGGUAGAAGUGAUAGUUUGCAGAUUUAGAGACUCUAAGGUCAGGGCAUUUAUGAACCAUUAACAAAUUCUUAAUGACAAUUUUAGUUUUUAUUGUUGAUAGGAAGUUAACGUGGCCAUGGUCUCCUAUAUCCCUGUAUAUGGCUGAAGUUGUAGCUAUUUCCUAAGUUGCUAUAAUACAUGGCUUCUACAUGGAUGUUUAGUUAAUUAAUAAGCAGACUGAUAAAUCUGUUUUUUAAGGAGAGGCCAAAGAAAAAGUGCAAUGGAAAAUAAUUAAGUAUACAGGUUCUUCAUGGAGCAUAAUCUUAAGUGACUGUAGUUUCUGCAGUAGUAUUUUUUAUUCAUGAUAUAUGUAGUUUUUGCACCAUAACCUACCAAAAUUUGAUUUACAAGAAAUUUCUUGAAAGGGAACGAAAAUUUGUCAACAAAUAUUGAAAAAGCAACAUCCUUUUUUUCAGAAAAAAAUAAAAGUAUCAAUUCCAAUAUCUUAAAUAAAGUUAAGAGGUUGGUAUCAAUGGCAAGAAGUGCACUUUAUCUAAACGAAACUGAUAAUCAAGAUAUCUAAGCUUCAAAAUUGGCCGAAAAUGAAAACUCAAAAAGCUAAUUGAACAGCUAACCCAAACACAACUGCAAAAGGAACAAAAAAGAAUACAUGCAAUGCAAAUUAAAUAGGAAAAAGAAAAGAAGAAUAAACCUGAUUAAGUGAAGUAUUAUAUCGAAUUACAGAUCGAAUUACAGGAGCAAAAAAAAUCGUUUGAAGUAUUACAAAUGAAAAGGACCCUUACCAAAGCUAGAGGCAGAAGAAGCUCCCUUCCAAACGCAAGGUCUUCAGAGAAAGAUAUACACCCUGUAUAUGGGCACUUCCCUUUCUUUUCCUUUUUAAAACCUAAAAACCUAAAUUACUACUCACUUAAUGUCUAUCACAUCAAAUCCCUGAAAAUAUGAUUUAGAAUUACGGUGUUCAUGGGAAAAUUGGAUGGCUGCAAAACCAAUUCCAGUACAAAUGAAAGAAAUCAAACGACUGGCCACUUUUGUGGGGAAAAAUCCCUGAAUUUUGGGGAAAAAGAAGACACCUAAUCUUUGAGGGAUUUCAAGCCUUCCAUGCUUCCAAGUACAAUAAGCAUGUGAAGGAGCCAUCUCAGCUACAGGAAGGGAAGAGUACUUGCUAGUACUUUCACCCGAAGAAGAAGAAAAGAAGAGAUGCUGGUUUCUUGUUUGUCUGAAGUGCUUGAAAUGAAAUGGGCCGGUUGUCUGAAGUGUUCGUCUGAAGUGGUUGAAAUGAAAUGGGUCCUAUUGGUUCUAUUACAAUGUAACGGGCAAUGGAAUAUCUUCUUGCUGGUUCCGUUGGUUUC
rnacentral:lncRNA from 1 species